rnacentral:rRNA from 1 species
UACGAAGGGGGCUAGCGUUGCUCGGAAUUACUGGGCGUAAAGCGUAUGCAGGCGGAUCGUUAAGUCGGGGGUGAAAUCCCGAGGCUCAACCUCGGAACUGCCUUCGAUACUGGCGAUCUUGAGUCCGGGAGAGGUGAGUGGAACUCCGAGUGUAGAGGUGAAAUUCGUAGAUAUUCGGAAGAACACCAGUGGCGAAGGCGGCUCACUGGCCCGGUACUGACGCUGAGAUACGAAAGCGUGGGGAGCAAACAGG